GACGAACGCUGGCGGCGUGCUUAACACAUGCAAGUCGAGCGAUGAAGUUCCUUCGGGAAUGGAUUAGCGGCGGACGGGUGAGUAACACGUGGGUAACCUGCCUCAUAGAGGGGAAUAGCCUUUCGAAAGGAAGAUUAAUACCGCAUAAGAUUGUAGUAUCGCAUGAUACAGCAAUUAAAGGAGUAAUCCGCUAUGAGAUGGACCCGCGUCGCAUUAGCUAGUUGGUGAGGUAACGGCUCACCUAGGCGACGAUCCCUAGCUGGUCUGAGAGGAUGACCAGCCACACUGGAACUGAGACACGGUCCAGACUCCUACGGGAGGCAGCAGUGGGGAAUAUUGCACAAUGGGCGCAAGCCUGAUGCAGCCAUGCCGCGUGUAUGAAGAAGGCCUUCGGGUUGUAAAGUACUUUCAGCGGGGAGGAAGGCGGUGAAGUUAAUAGCUUCACCGAUUGACGUUACCCGCAGAAGAAGCACCGGCUAACUCCGUGCCAGCCGCCGCCGUAA
rnacentral:rRNA from 1 species